rnacentral:tRNA from 1 species
GGGGAUGUGGCUCAAGUGGUAGAGCGCUUGCCUAGCAUGCAUGAGGCACUGGGCUCGAUUCUCAGCACCA